rnacentral:tRNA from 1 species
GGUAAAGUAGCUCAGUCGGUAGUAGCACAACACUGAAAAUGUUGGUGUCGGUGGUUCGAUUCCACCCUUUACCA